rnacentral:sRNA from 1 species
GGGCACCUGUAAUCCCAGCUACUCGAGAGGCUGAGGCAGGAGAAUCUCUUGAACCUGGGAGGUGAAGGUUGCUGUGGGCCAAAAUCAUGCCAUUGCACUCCAGCCUGGGUGACAAGAGCGAAACUCCAUCUCAAAAAAAAAAAAAAAAAAAACAGAAAUGUAUUUGGAUUUUUCCUAGUAAGAUCACUCAGUGUUACUAAAUAAUGAAGUUGUUAUGGAGAACAAAUAUCAAAGACACAGUUAGUGUAGUUACUAUUUUUUUAAGUGUGUAUUAAAACUUCUCAUUCUAUUCUCUUUAUCUUUUAAGCCCUUCUGUACUGUCCAUGUAUGUUAUCUUUCUGAUACCUUCAUAGAUUGCCUUCUAGUUCAUGAAUUCUCUUGUCAGCUGUAUAUAAUCUCUUUUACCCUAUCCAUUGGGCUUCUUCUUUCAGAAAUUGUUUUUCAUUUCUAAUUAUGCAUCAUUUUUCAGAUCUGUUUCUUGAUGUCAUUUUUAAUGUUGUUUUUUAUGUCACUAAUUAUUUUAAAUGUCUGUACUUGAUAGACACUGUAAUAGUUCUAUUAAAUUUAGUUCCUGCUGUUUAUAUCUGUUGAUUUUUGUAUUUGAUAGGCUGUUCAUCCAGUUUUGUCUUUUUGAAAAGUGAGUUUAUUUUCAGCAAGACUCUGCCUCAAAAAAAAAAAAAAAAAAAAAAGGUUUUGGCAAGCUGGAACUCUUUCUGCAAAUGACUAAGAUAGAAAACUGCCAAGGACAAAUGAGGAGUAGUUAGAUUUUGAAAAUAUUAAUCAUAGAAUAUUUGUUGUAUGCUAAGUCACUGACCCAUAUUAUGUACAGCAUUUCUGAUCUUUACUUUGCAAGAUUAGUGAUACUAUCCCAAUACACUGCUGGAGAAAUCAGAAUUUGGAGAAAUACGUUGUCCAAGGCAAGAAGAUAGUAAAUUAUAAGUACAAGUGUAAUGUGGACAAUAUCUAACUUGAAAAGAUUUCAGGCGAAAAGAAUCUGGGGUUUGCCAGUCAGUCGCUCAAAAGGUCAAUGAAAACCAAAUAGUGAAGCUAUCAGAGAAGCUAAUAAAUUAUAGACUGCUUGAACAGUUGUGUCCAGAUUAAGGGAGAUAAUAGCUCUCCCACCCUACUUUGUGC